rnacentral:rRNA from 1 species
AAUUGACCUCCGAUCAGGUAGGGAUACCCGCUGACUUAAGCAUAUC